UUUCCGUAGGUGAACCUGCGGAAGGAUCAUUACAGAGUUCAUGCCCGAAAGGGUAGACCUCCCACCCUUUUGUAUUAUUGCUUUGUUGCUUUGGCGAGCGCAAGCUCGCCCGAGAAUACCAAAACUCUUUUUAUUAAUGUCGUCUGAGUACUAUAUAAUAGUCAAAACUUUCAACAACGGAUCUCUUGGUUCUG
rnacentral:misc_RNA from 1 species